rnacentral:rRNA from 1 species
UACAGAGGAUGCAAGCGUUAUCCGGAAUGAUUGGGCGUAAAGCGUCUGUAGGUGGCUUUUUAAGUCCGCCGUCAAAUCCCAGGGCUCAACUCUGGACAGGCGGUGGAAACUACCAAGCUGGAGUACGGUAGGGGCAGAGAGAAUUUCCGGUGGAGCGGUGAAAUGCGUAGAGAUCAGAAAGAACACCAACGGCGAAAGCACUCUGCUGGGCCGACACUGACACUGAGAGGCGAAAGCUAGGGGAGCGAAUGGG